rnacentral:rRNA from 1 species
GACGAACGCUGGCGGCGUGCUUAACACAUGCAAGUCGAACGACAGCAUUCUCUUCGGGGGGUGUAUGGAGUGGCGAACGGGUGAGCAACACGUGAGUAACCUGCCCUUUUCUUUGGAAUAAGCCUGGGAAACUGGGUCUAAUGCCGAAUAUUCACUUUUUCCCGCAUGGGUUUGGUGGAAAGAUUUUUUGGUGGGGGAUGGGCUCGCGGCCUAUCAGCUUGUUGGUGGGGUGAUGGCCUACCAAGGCGACGACGGGUAGCCGGCCUGAGAGGGCGACCGGCCACACUGGGACUGAGACACGGCCCAGACUCCUACGGGAGGCAGCAGUGGGGAAUCUUGCGCAAUGGGCGAAAGCCUGACGCAGCGACGCCGCGUGAGGGAUGACGGCCUGGU